UCCAGUCCUUAUUAAUGAGUUUUUAGGCGUGUCUAAUAGAUGGCGUGUUAAUUGUUUGUGUCAGUUUUGGGCUUAUGGCGGUUUGCUGUCAAAAGUUAAGCUAUCUUUUCUUCGACAAUUACCAAUGUAUUUACAGGAGAAAACGUGUUGAUAGGGUCGUGCAGCUCACUGCUGUUGUCGUUCAACCAUUUAUUUGUUCAAAAUCAUUGUAUUCUACUGAAUGUGCCAUCAAAAUGAAACAGGAUUCAUCAUAAUUGUCUGCUGGUUGUAAUGCGGACUUGCAAAAUCGCCAAUCCCAGCCAUGCCCCAAUUUUGAGUGUUCUUCAGUACAGGUUUCUAACACAUUGGCAUGACAGAUUUGAUGAGAAGUCAUAUUUUGAAGAAAAAGGACAAGAACCAUACAGUCAACAAGGUUCCUUGUUUGCUAACCAGUUGGCCGCUACCCUUCAAUCUCCCUGUUUACUUCCUUACACAGGUCCUAUUGAUUUGAGGGUAACUCUUUCGCGUCUGAUGACAUCAAGUCAUCAACUGUUAUAAACUGACGAGAGAAUGCUGCAAUUCAAGACUAGUGCAUUGUGUAGUUGUUAGAUAAAUGGCAAGUGCAUAUAUCUGGGCUCCCUUCUUUUCUGUGGCCCCGUUUCCCUAACUAACCACUAACCAACGCCCGCCGGUGGUCACUCACCCGCUGUGAAACCAGGAG